rnacentral:rRNA from 1 species
GAUGAACGCUGGCGGCGUGCCUAAUACAUGCAAGUCGAGCGAAUGGAUUAAGAGCUUGCUCUUAUGAAGUUAGCGGCGGACGGGUGAGUAACACGUGGGUAACCUGCCCAUAAGACUGGGAUAACUCCGGGAAACCGGGGCUAAUACCGGAUAACAUUUUGAACCGCAUGGCUCGAAAUUGAAUGGCGGCUUCGGCUAUCACUUAUGGAUGGACCCGUGUCGCAUUAGCUAGUUGGUGAGGUAACGGCUCACCAAGGCAACGAUGCGUAGCCGACCUGAGAGGGUGAGCGGCCACACUGGGACUGAGACACGGCCCAGACUCCUACGGGAGGCAGCAGUAGGGAAUCUUCCGCAAUGGACGAAAGUCUGACGGAGCAACGCCGCGUGAGUGAUGAAGGCUUUCGGGUCGUAAAACUCUGUUGUUAGGGAAGAACAAGUGCUAGUUGAAUAAGCUGGCACCUUGACGGUACCUAACCAGAAAGCCACGGCUAACUACGUGCCAGCCGCCGCCGUAA